rnacentral:rRNA from 1 species
AUUGCACGCUGGCGGCAGGCAUAACACAUGCAAGUCGAGCGAGCGGGGGAGGGGUGAGUAAUGUAUGGGGACUGCCCGAUAGAGGGGGAGAAAUACUGGAAAAGGUAGCGAAUAACGAAUACUAUCGGAUAACCCAUAUGGGAUUAGCUAGUAGGUGAGGUAAUGGCUCACCUAGGCGACGAGCCCUAGCUGGUCUGAGAGGAUGAGCAGCCACACUGGGACUGAGACACGGCCCAGACUCCUACGGGGUCAGCAGUGGGGACUAUUGCACAAUUGGCGCAAGCCUGAUGCAGCCAUGCCGCGUGUAUGAAGAAGGCCCUAGGGUUAUAAAGUACUUUCAGUCGGGAGGCGUUACCGACAGAAGAAGCACCGGCUAACUCCGUGCCAGCAGCCGCGGUAAUAC